GACGGAGGGUGCGAGCGUUAUUCGGAUUCACUGGGCUUAAAGGGCACGUAGGCGGCUGCAUGGGUCCGUGGUGAAAGCCCUCGGCUUAACCGAGGAACGGCUGCGGAAACUAUGCGGCUUGAGGAUGGGAGAGGUAAGCGGAAUUCCCGGUGUAGCGGUGAAAUGCGUAGAUAUCGGGAGGAACGCCGGUGGCGAAGGCGGCUUACUGGUCCAUCCCUGACGCUGAGGUGCGAAAGCCAGGGGAGCAAACGGG
rnacentral:misc_RNA from 1 species